AGAGUUUGAUCCUGGCUCAGGAUGAACGCUGGCGGCGUGCUUAACACAUGCAAGUCGAACGAAGCACUUUAACCUGAUUCUUCGGAUGAAGGUUUUUGUGACUGAGUGGCGGACGGGUGAGUAACGCGUGGGUAACCUGCCUCAUACAGGGGGAUAACAGUUAGAAAUGACUGCUAAUACCGCAUAAGCGCACAGUACCGCAUGGUACGGUGUGAAAAACUCCGGUGGUAUGAGAUGGACCCGCGUCUGAUUAGCUAGUUGGUGGGGUAACGGCCUACCAAGGCGACGAUCAGUAGCCGACCUGAGAGGGUGAACGGCCACAUUGGGACUGAGACACGGCCCAAACUCCUACGGGAGGCAGCAGUGGGGAAUAUUGCACAAUGGGGGAAACCCUGAUGCAGCGACGCCGCGUGAGUGAAGAAGUAUUUCGGUAUGUAAAGCUCUAUCAGCAGGGAAGAAAAUGACGGUACCUGACUAAGAAGCCCCGGCUAACUACGUGCCAGCAGCCGCGGUAAUACGUAGGGGGCAAGCGUUAUCCGGAUUUACUGGGUGUAAAGGGAGCGUAGACGGCGACGCAAGUCUGAAGUGAAAUACCCGGGCUCAACCUGGGAACUGCUUUGGAAACUGUGUUGCUAGAGUGCCGGAGAGGUAAGCGGAAUUCCUAGUGUAGCGGUGAAAUGCGUAGAUAUUAGGAGGAACACCAGUGGCGAAGGCGGCUUACUGGACGGUAACUGACGUUGAGGCUCGAAAGCGUGGGGAGCAAACAGGAUUAGAUACCCUGGUAGUCCACGCC
rnacentral:rRNA from 1 species